rnacentral:lncRNA from 1 species
AAUAAAAUAUAGAUUAUUAAAAUUAUUUAUAGUCCAUAAAUACAAACCCAAAAUUAUAGCCUAAUUUAUAAACCCACUUUACAAAUAGACCUAAAGCUCGAUCAUAAAAUAAACCUAACCCAAACAUUUGGACUCAGUAGUCCAAUUUUAGCAUGGAUCCAGUGGCCCAAUCCUAAAGCCAAACAAUUUCAGCUCUUGGAAACCCUAGCAGAGACCGUAGCUGCCCAAGAAUGGCCUCUCCAUUUCCGUACACAGUGCCACGUCCGCAACCUCAUGCUUCCGUACGACCUCCACGUCAAUCGAACCUACAAGAACAAAAUAACAGCAAGAAGGGCGCAACAAUAUACAAUAAAUAACCAGCAAAAAUAACAGAAAAUAAUAGCGAAAAAAAUAGGGAAAAUGGGGAUGUAAUUUCAUUUUUAUUUUCGGUUAUAAAAAGCCGAAUGGAAUUUGUGUAAACCUUAUGCAUACUAAAUGCAAGAAAAGCAACCAAAAAUUAUCAGAAGUGAUCUCAAAUUCCGUUUCAUUUCCUUUGAUUUUUUUCUUUUUGAUUUGCAUGGAAUUUUUAGCGUGAGAAAACGAAAGGGACUUACCUGAGUCGACGCCGAUGAGAGCCCAAACACCUAAAAAAUGUGGAGGUUUGUCGAAUGGUGUUUAAAUCCUCUUCAUUCUAUGAAUUUGGCUUUGUAUUUUUUUUAAAAGAAAUAACAUAGGAUUUAAGUUUUUUUCUUUUUAAGUAUAAAGAAGAGAAGGAGACUUUCCAAAUCUCCAUGGGCAUAGUCGAAGUUCUCCGCCGUUGGCAAGUUCAGGCCAUCGUCUGUACGCUGUCGGCCACCGGAUAUGGUGGUUGUUCGGCUGCUGCAAUUUUAUUGAUUGAAACCUUAGCUGAAAGGGUUAAGAAUUUUGGGGAUUUUUGCUUAGAAAAAGGGAUUUGUAAGCUUUUA